CCAGAUCACGCAGCUGAAGAUUGCCAGUAAUCCCUUCGCUAAAGGAUUCAGAGACUGUGACCCAGAGGAAUGGCCGCGCGGUCACGUGAUCCGGGCCCCGUUCAGCCCCGCCCUCUCGAGGCCACGCCUCCUCAACGGGGAGGGAGAAGACGUCACCACCGCCACCCACGACUGCCGCCACUCGCUCCUCUCACCCCCCGCCCAGCGCUUCGCCCCGCCCCUCCACCCCGC